rnacentral:rRNA from 1 species
AUUGAACGCUGGCGGCAGGCCUAACACAUGCAAGUCGAACGAGCGGCGGACGGGUGAGUAAUGUCUGGGACACUGCCUGAUGGAGGGGGAUAACUACUGGAAACGGUCGCUAAUACCGCAUACAAUCAGAUGUGCCCAGCUGGGAUUAGCUAGUUGGGGGGGUAACGGCUCACCAAGGCGACGAUCCCUAGCUGGUCUGUGAGGAUGACCAGGCACAAUGGAACUGAGACACGGGCCAGACGCCUACGGGAGGCAGCAGUGGGGAAUAUUGCACAAUGGGCGAAAGCCUGAGGCAGCCAUGCCGCGUGUAUGAAGAAGGCCUUCGGGUUGUAAAGUACUUUCAGCGGGGAGGCGUUACCCGCAGAAGAAGCACCGGCUAACUCCGUGCCAGCAGCCGCGGUAAUAC